GCAAGUCGAACGAGAACGGGUCCUUCGGGGCCUUAGUAGAGUGGCGCACGGGUGAGUAACACGUGGGUAACCAACCCUUCGGAUGGGGGACAACCUCGGGAAACCGGGGCUAAUACCGCGUACGACCUAUCUGUUUUCGGACAGAAAGGUGAUAGGGGGCCUCUUCAUGAAAGCUCUCAACGAAGGACGGGCCCGCGGCCCAUCAGCUUGUAGGUGGGGUAAUGGCCUACCUAGGCAGCGACGGGUAGCUGGUCUGAGAGAAUGAUC
rnacentral:rRNA from 1 species